rnacentral:rRNA from 1 species
GACGAACGCUGGCGGCGUGCUUAACACAUGCAAGUCGAACGGAAAGGCCCUGCUUUUGUGGGGUGCUCGAGUGGCGAACGGGUGAGUAACACGUGAGUAACCUGCCCUUGACUUUGGGAUAACUUCAGGAAACUCGGGCUCAUACCGGAUAGGAGCUCCUGCUGCAUGGUGGGGGUUGGUAAGUUUCGGCGGUUGGGGAUGGACUCGCUGCUUAUCCGCUUGUUGGUGGGGUAGUGGCUUACCAAGGCUUUGACGGGUAGCCGGCCUGAGAGGGUGACCGGCCACAUUGGGACUGAGAUACGGCCCAGACGCCUACGGGAGGCAGCAGUGGGGAAUAUUGCACAAUGGGCGGAAGCCUGAUGCAGCAACGCCGCGUGCGGGAUGACGGCCUUCGGGUUGUAAACCGCUUUCGCCUGUGACGAAGCGUGAGUGACGGUAAUGGGUAAAGAAGCGCCGGCUAACUACGUG